rnacentral:rRNA from 1 species
UACGGAGGAUCCAAGCGUUAUCCGGAUUUAUUGGGUUUAAAGGGUGCGUAGGCGGCGGGGUAAGUCUGAUGUGAAAGCCCAGAGCUCAACUCUGGAAUUGCCUUUGAGACUGAGUGGCUUGAGUACGAGAGAGGUGAGUGGAAUUCCCCAGUGUAGAGGUGAAAUUCGUAGAUAUUGGGAAGAACACCGGUGGCGAAGGCGGCUCACUGGCUCGUAACUGACGCUCAUGCACGACAGCGUGGGGAUCAAACAGG